GACGAACGCUGGCGGCGUGCCUAAUACAUGCAAGUCGAACGCUGAAGGAGGAGCUUGCUUCUCUGGAUGAGUUGCGAACGGGUGAGUAACGCGUAGGUAACCUGCCUGGUAGCGGGGGAUAACUAUUGGAAACGAUAGCUAAUACCGCAUAAGAGUAGAUGUCGCAUGACAUUUGCUUAAAGGGUGCAAUUGCAUCACUACCAGAUGGACCUGCGUUGUAUUAGCUAGUUGGUGAGGUAACGGCUCACCAAGGCAACGAUACAUAGCCGACCUGAGAGGGGGGUCGGCCACACUGGGACCGAGACACGGCCCAGACUCCCACGGGAGGGAGCAGUAGGGGAUCUUCGGGAAUGGACGGAAGGCUGAACGAGGAAAGCCGCGGGAGGGAAGAAGGGUCUCGGAUCGGAAAGCUCCGUUGUAAGAGAAGAACGAGUGUGAGAGUGGAAAGUUCACACUGUGACGGUAUCUUAUCAGAAAGGGACGGCUAACUACGUG
rnacentral:rRNA from 1 species